CCUUCUUCCUUUCUUUAUUUAUUUGGUAUUUCGUUUAUUCUUUCUUUUUUUUGUCUAGGUUUUCAUGUUUUUACAAGAGGAGAAGCGCCCCUUACACAUUUCAAACGAUGCUUCUAUCCCAGAUCUGCUCGCUACUCAUGUGCCACUUGAACACAGAACAAAAGACGUUGAAGCAAAAUCCAAUCCGCCAACGACGCAUCAGUGCCGCCGCGUCGCCCUGCACUUUCAGUUUGUGGGUCUUUCUUGUUCACCAUCACUGCUCUGUUCCAUCCUCUUCUCUUAUCUGGUUUGUUCUUCACUCUUU